UGGGGAAUUUUGGACAAUGGGGGCAACCCUGAUCCAGCCAUUCCGCGUGAGUGAAGAAGGCCUUCGGGUUGUAAAGCUCUUUCGGCAGGAACGAAACGGCUCGCUCUAACAUAGCGGGCUACUGACGGUACCUGAAGAAGAAGCACCGGCUAACUACGUGCCAGCAGCCGCGGUAAUACGUAGGGUGCGAGCGUUAAUCGGAAUUACUGGGCGUAAAGCGUGCGCAGGCGGCUUUUUAAGCCAGAUGUGAAAUCCCCGGGCUUAACCUGGGAACUGCAUUUGGAACUGGAAGGCUAGAGUGCGGCAGAGGGGGGUAGAAUUCCACGUGUAGCAGUGAAAUGCGUAGAGAUGUGGAGGAAUACCGAUGGCGAAGGCAGCCCCCUGGGUCGACACUGACGCUCAUGCACGAAAGCGUGGGGAGCAAACAGG
rnacentral:rRNA from 1 species